rnacentral:lncRNA from 10 species
CAAAAAGCUCCCCCACUGAGCACCUUGCGACCCCCACUCCUGCCCACUGAGCAACUUGCAACCCCCACUCCUACCCGCCAGAGAACAAACCCCCUUUGACUGUAAUUUUCCUUUACCUACCCAAAUCCUAUAAAACAGCCCCACCCUUAUCUCCCUUCACUGACUCUUUUCGGACUCAGCCCACCUGCACGCAGGUGAUUAAAAGCUUUAUUGCUCACACAAAGCCUGUUUGGUGGUCUCUUCACACGGACGCGCAUAAAAUUUGGUGCCGUGACUCGGAUCGGGGGACCUCCCUUGGGAGAUCAAUCCCCUGUCCUCCUGCUCUUUGCUCCGUGAGAAAGAUCCACCUACGACCUCAGGUCCUCGGACCGAUCAGCUCAAGAAACAUCUCACCAAUUUCAAAUCCGGUCUUGAAGGGGAAAAAGAAUCCUGUGUACUGCUCUAGCUGUGACCAAGCCAAUUAUGCUAACAUCAGCAUCCAACGAUCACAGCAGGAAACAUACUGUCUUCUUUACAUGCAUGGGCUGACUGAAUUCUUACAAAAUCUCCAUGAGGUAAAGAGAAAAUUAGGGCACAAACACACAUAGAAGAAAGACCAUGUGAAGACAGGAAGAUGGCCACCUACAGCCAGGAAAAGAGGCUUCAGAAAAUGUCAACUCUGCUGGCAUCUUGAUCUCAGACUUAUAACCUCCGUGAGAAAAUAAAUUUAUGUUGUUUAAGCCACCCAGUCUAUGGUACUUUGUUACGGCAGCAUUGGCAAACUAAUUCACUGGUGAUUUUAACAAAAGGAACGUCGGUAAAGUGAUGGAAGCAGAAACCCAGUUACUCAAAUGUUAAUCUCCUUUGGCAACACCCUCACAGACACACCCAGGAUCAAUACUUUGCAUCCUUCAAUCCAGUCAAGUUCACACUCAAUAUUAACCGUCAUACCUGCCCACACUCAAGAAGAGGGGAUCACAGAAAGCCAUGAACACCACCAGGCAAAGAUCAUGGAAAUCUACCCUCAAGUCUGUCCGCAUAGAAUGACUUCCAAGGGCCAAAAAUAUAGGGAGAUGAUUUUGUUCCAAGGCAAAGGACAUCAUUCUAACUGAGCAAAAACAGAAUGAGCAAGCUGGCGAAUUUUCUGUCACAAGAGAUCUCGAAUCACAAGCUUAACUCUCCUGGAAAGUUUGGUGAGAAGAAUGUUACCGAUGGAAGAUCUUGACUGUGAGUUAUCCAGGUUCUUGGCGUGUUGAACAAAGAAUUGAACAAAAUGCACAAACAAAGCAAUAAAAGAACAAAUUAACGAAAAACAAGUCAACAGAAGAACAGACUAACGAAAGCACAGAUUUAUUGAAGUGAAAGUACAUUCCACAGAGUGAGAACUGGAUCAAUCAAGUGGCUCAAGAGCCCCCCUACCCCAGUUACAGUUUUUAUUAAGCUAAAAGAAUGUGGUAACACUCCUAGAUGCCCUUUAGAGGCCUCCAAUUGGUUACACCCUAUGAAGGAUUGGCCUAUGACCAAUCAGAGGCUGAAGUGGAGAUCUGGCCCGUGGUUAGAGGCUAAAGUGGAAACUUCUGUCUUGUUAUCACAGGAGUGAAGAUCUGGCCUGUAUGCUGCCUCAUCUUGCCUAGAACUGGCUGCACCUGCUGUUCUUUUGCUUUUGCUUAACCCUUGGUUACCCUAAUUGCCUAUUCUCCUGCCUCAAAGAGGAUGCCGUUCAAUAGUUGGAUGAGAGAUGGAAGUCAGUCCUGAAGUCUCUAUAUUUGAAUUUUUAUAUUUGAGGUGUAGAAAUGUGGGUGGGAUGUAGGGGAUUCCCAAACCAUGAACAGCUUCAGGAUGCACAUUCAAGGUUUAAGUGCAUUCCCAUAUGUCCUGUCAAUUAGACAAAUGGCAAUUGUGCCUCACUUACCAGGAAGGGCCAACAAGAAGUUUGUAGGACAUUCCAACAUUUUUAGACAUGCUCACACCUGAUGAGGAUGUCCCAGACCCCUCUGGUAGGAAAUGCCAGCCAGUGUUUCUCUAAGAAACCAAGGAGAUCAGGAUAGCCAAUUUCAGGAGCUUCCCUUCCUUGAUCUCAUUGAGGCCUCCUGGGUUAAGAGAACUGUAAAAUGUGCAGCUUUUAUCUUUAGCAACUUACACAGGAACAGAAAACCAAAUACCACAUGUUCUCACUGAUAAGUGGGAGCUAAAUUAUGAGAACACAUGGACACACAGAGGGGAACAACACACACUGGAGCCUUUAGGAGGGUAGAGGGUAGGAGGAGGGAGAGGAUCAGGAAAAAUUACUAAUAGUUACCAGGCUUAAUACCUGGGCAUGAAAUAAUCUGUACAACAAACCCCCAAGACACAAGUUUACCCAUGGAACAAACCUGCACUGGUACCCCUGAACUUCAAAUAAAAGUUAAAAAAGAAAAGUGGAGCUUCAUAAAAUCCAACGAACUGAAACAGUCAUAAACGUCACAAGUUGGACAACUUUGAAUCAUAACCAUAAAGAGCAAGGAUGUCAUGUUAGGAUGCAAAUUUAAUUUUUUAAUUUUUUUUAGCUCAUUCAGUCUACAGUUUUAAAUCCAAAUAGGCUGUCUCAUUUUGGAUGCCUGUCACUCCUCAGGGGGCUGCCUCAGCCUCUGGGAAAUGUGCUUCUCAGGUCACCUCCCACUCACACAUGCAUGCUCUCCUUACUCUCCUCAGGCUCUGGUGUUCAGGGUUGUGCUACCCCACAGAACUCUGGCCCUAAACUCCACACUGGGCCUCCCCAUGCAUAGACACCCUCCUCAGCAAGCUCCGAUUUCCACACUGUGAGACACCUGUCCCACCCCAUGGAUUCCCUCUGCACCUGCGAUGGGCUCCUUGCAAGGAUACCCUCCCCUCCCUCCUGACAGCACUCCAUGAGAGCCCCCUUUGGUCCUCACUGGGGCCAAGCAGCCCCUCUCCGUAGAUGCCCUGCUCAUUCCCUCCCAUCUUCACUUAGCUCCCUCCUCUCCCCAUUUCCACACUGCUCUGCCCUUACUAGGGCUUCAGGAUUAAAUUGCUCUGGAAUGGUUCAGGAAUAAAAGGAAAAAGAAGGAAAUGGAAAAGAAAGGAAAAGGAGGAGGAAGUGCAAACUAAGGCUUGAUAAUUGUUUCCAAAAACAAAGUCUCUGGAUUGAAAAACGUGAUAAAAUACAUGGUUAUUCUUAGAAUGUAUUUUUAAAU